rnacentral:tRNA from 2 species
GCGGGGGUUGCCAAGCCAGGUCAAAGGCGCGAGAACUCAAACCUCGUCCCGUAGGGGUUCGUGGGUUCAAAUCCCACCCCCCGCACCA